AGUGAACGCUGGCGGUAGGCCUAACACAUGCAAGUCGAACGGCAGCACAGUAAGAGCUUGCUCUUACGGGUGGCGAGUGGCGGACGGGUGAGGAAUACAUCGGAAUCUACUUUUUCGUGGGGGAUAACGUAGGGAAACUUACGCUAAUACCGCAUACGACCUACGGGUGAAAGCAGGGGAUCUUCGGACCUUGCGCGAUUGAAUGAGCCGAUGUCGGAUUAGCUAGUUGGCGGGGUAAAGGCCCACCAAGGCGACGAUCCGUAGCUGGUCUGAGAGGAUGAUCAGCCACACUGGAACGGAGCCACGGUCCAGACUCCUACGGGAGGCAGCAGUGGGGAAUAUUGGACAAUGGGCGCAAGCCUGAUCCAGCCAUACCGCGUGGGUGAAGAAGGCCUUCGGGUUGUAAAGCCCUUUUGUUGGGAAAGAAAAGCAGCAGGUUAAUACCCCGCUGUUCUGACGGUACCCAAAGAAUAAGCACCGGCUAACUUCGUG
rnacentral:rRNA from 1 species